rnacentral:rRNA from 1 species
AGACCCGAAACCCGGUGAUCUAGCCAUGGGCAGGUUGAAGGUUGGGUAACACUAACUGGAGGACCGAACCGACUAAUGUUGAAAAAUUAGCGGAUGACCUGUGGCUGGGGGUGAAAGGCCAAUCAAACCGGGAGAUAGCUGGUUCUCCCCGAAAGCUAUUUAGGUAGCGCCUCGUGAAUUCAUCUCCGGGGGUAGAGCACUGUUUCGGCUAGGGGGCCAUCCCGGCUUACCAACCCGAUGCAAACUGCGAAUACCGGAGAAUGUUAUCACGGGAGACACACGGCGGGUGCUAACGUCCGUCGUGAAGAGGGAAACAACCCAGACCGCCAGCUAAGGUCCCAAAGUCAUGGUUAAGUGGGAAACGAUGUGGGAAGGCCCAGACAGCCAGGAUGUUGGCUUAGAAGCAGCCAUCAUUUAAAGAAAGCGUAAUAGCUCACUGGUCGAGUCGGCCUGCGCGGAAGAUGUAACGGGGCUAAACCAUGCACCGAAGCUGCGGCAGCGAACGUAUCACUUAAAGCGAUUCAGCGGGUUACGAUUGACGGAGCGAAGCGACGUCAAAGCGUAUACAAAGUCGAGUCGGUUUAAGGAUACGUUCGUUGGGUAGGGGAGCGUUCUGUAAGCCUGCGAAGGUGGCCUGUGAGGGUUGCUGGAGGUAUCAGAAGUGCGAAUGCUGACAUAAGUAACGAUAAAGCGGGUGAAAAGCCCGCUCGCCGGAAGACCAAGGGUUCCUGUCCAACGUUAAUCGGGGCAGGGUGAGUCGACCCCUAAGGCGAGGCCGAAAGGCGUAGUCGAUGGGAAACGGGUUAAU